rnacentral:tRNA from 1 species
GCUGGGGUGGUGGAAUGGUAUACACGGGGGACUUAAGAUCCCCUGAGGGCAACCUCGUGCGGGUUCGACUCCCGCCCCCAGCA